rnacentral:pre_miRNA from 11 species
ACCUGAAAUGAGGUCUAGGGUAAUGACCUAUGAUUUGACAGACUGUGCUAUCUAAGUCUGCCUGUCAUUUCUGUAGGCCAAUACUCUGCAUGUUCACUACUCUAC